rnacentral:rRNA from 1 species
CAGUAGCCGCGGGAAUACGAAGGGAGCAAGCGUUAAUCGGAAUUACUGGGCGUAAAGCGUGCGUAGGCGGUUUGUUAAGUCAGAUGUGAAAUCCCCAAGCUUAACUUGGGAACUGCAUUUGAUACUGUGGAUCUUGAGUCCGGGAGAGGUGAGUGGAACUGCGAGUGUAGAGGUGAAAUUCGUAGAUAUUCGCGAGAACACCAGUGGCGAAGGCGGCUCACUGGCCCGGAACUGACGCUGAGGCGCGAAAGUGUGGGGAGCAAACAGGAUUAGAUACCCCCGUAGUCCCUGUCUCUUAUAC